rnacentral:lncRNA from 1 species
AGUCUUUUUAUCAACUCUUGGCCACUUGAACAAAGGUCCCAACUAAUUCUAGAGUUUUUCCGAGGACCAAUAGUUCGGCUCUUCGGCUGUCCUCCCUAGACUCAGAGAAUAGAGAGCCAAUCAUUUCUAGGUUCGCUCCCUAACCACGUGGGGUCCUAAAUCAGAGGUUCCAAUCAAUUCUAGGUUGUCUCCAUCUUUAAGGCCCG